GAAAUGCGAUAAGUAAUGUGAAUUGCAGAAUUCAGUGAAUCAUCGAAUCUUUGAACGCACCUUGCGCUCCUUGGUAUUCCUUGGAGCAUGCCUGUUUGAGUAUCAUGAAAUCUUCAAAGUAAAUCUUUUGUUAACUCAAUUGGUUUCUACUUUGGUAUUGGAGGUCUUUGCAGCUUCACACCUGCUCCUCUUUGUUCAUUGGCUGGAUCUCAGUGUUAUGCUUGGUUCCACUCGGCGUGAUAAGUUAUCUAUCGCUGAGGACACUGUAAAAGGUGGCCAAGGUAAAUGCAGAUGAACCGCUUCUAAUAGUCCAUUGACUUGGACAAUACUUUUAUGAUCUGAUCUCAAAUCAGGUAGGACUACCCGCUGAACUUAAGC
rnacentral:misc_RNA from 1 species